CGGGAAUAUUGCGCAAUGGAGGAAACUCUGACGCAGUGACGCCGCGUGCAGGAAGAAGGUUUUCGGAUUGUAAACUGCUUUAGACAGGGAAGAUACAAGACAGUACCUGUAGAAUAAGCUCCGGCUAACUACGUGCCAGCAGCCGCGGUAAUACGUAGGGAGCAAGCGUUAUCCGGAUUUAUUGGGUGUAAAGGGUGCGUAGACGGGAAAACAAGUUAGUUGUGAAAUCCCUCGGCUUAACUGAGGAACUGCAACUAAAACUAUUUUUCUUGAGUGCUGGAGAGGAAAGUGGAAUUCCUAGUGUAGCGGUGAAAUGCGUAGAUAUUAGGAGGAACACCAGUGGCGAAGGCGACUUUCUGGACAGUAACUGACGUUGAGGCACGAAAGUGUGGGGAGCAAAC
rnacentral:rRNA from 1 species